UACGUAGGGAGCAAGCGUUGUCCGGAAUCAUUGGGCGUAAAGCGCGCGUAGGUGGCCUCAUAAGUCCGCUGUGAAAGUCAAAGGCUCAACCUUUGAAAGCCGGUGGAUACUGUGAGGCUAGAGUACGGAAGAGGCGAGUGGAAUUCCUGGUGUAGCGGUGGAAUGCGCAGAUAUCAGGAGGAACACCAAUAGCGGAGGCAGCUCGCUGGGACGUUACUGACACUGAGGCGCGAAAGCGUGGGGAGCGAACAGG
rnacentral:rRNA from 1 species